GGCAUAAAGAUGUGAGAUUAGAUUAUUUCUGAAGUUCCAGCUGAGCGUUGCAAAAGCAAGAGUCUUUUAUGUUUAAACAUAAGAGAAAUUGAGCAGGGAAAAAAAAAAGAAACUAAUAACACAGAAAGAAAGCGCCUAACCCUACUCUCUUCACAUAAACUUGUUUGUCAUAAACUUGGCAAAUGCAUUCCUUGGCACAAAAUAGAGAGUUGAUAACUCAUGCUGAAACAUGAAGAGCUACCUAACUUUUUCACACAAGUUAAAAAGGAAUGC
rnacentral:misc_RNA from 1 species